CGCCCAAAGCUGGGCUAGUUAUCAUUUCUCCCAAAGUGGUUCCUGUUCCAGUGUUGCCAUCAGAUUGAUGACACCACCCCGGGGUAGCACCCAUGUCAGUACCCAGGUGGCCAUCAAAUCCUGCAGCUCCCCUGGUUUCCCUCUGACAUGAUGACACCUACUGGUCUUAGCAGAAACAGCACCCUCCUUAUUCCCGACCUAAGAUCCGAUGGGAAUGUAAAUAGCCUGCGGGCUGCCGGUGCAUUAAUGGUGGGGUGUGGGAAGGUCGGGCACAUAGUAGGUCCUCAAUAAAUAUUUCUUGAAUCAGCAAGAGGAA